rnacentral:rRNA from 1 species
AGUGAACGCUGGCGGUAGGCCUAACACAUGCAAGUCGAACGGCAGCACAGUAAGAGCUUGCUCUUACGGGUGGCGAGUGGCGGACGGGUGAGGAAUACAUCGGAAUCUACUUUUUCGUGGGGGAUAACGUAGGGAAACUUACGCUAAUACCGCAUACGACCUACGGGUGAAAGCAGGGGAUCUUCGGACCUUGCGCGAUUGAAUGAGCCGCUGUCGGAUUAGCUAGUUGGCGGGGUAAAGGCCCACCAAGGCGACGAUCCGUAGCUGGUCUGAGAGGAUGAUCAGCCACACGGGAACUGAGACACGGUCAAGACUCCUACGGGAGGCAGCAGUGGGGAAUAUUGGACAAUGGGCGCAAGCCUGAUCCAGCCAUACCGCGUGGGUGAAGAAGGCCUUCGGGUUGUAAAGCCCUUUUGUUGGGAAAGAAAAGCAGCAGGUUAAUACCCCGCUGUUCUGACGGUACCCAAAGAAGAAGCACCGGCUAACUUCGUG